rnacentral:rRNA from 1 species
AUUGAACGCUGGCGGCAGGCUUAACACAUGCAAGUCGAGCGGGGGAAGGUAGCUUGCUACCGGACCUAGCGGCGGACGGGUGAGUAAUGCUUAGGAAUCUGCCUAUUAGUGGGGGACAACAUCUCGAAAGGGAUGCUAAUACCGCAUACGUCCUACGGGAGAAAGCAGGGGAUCUACGGACCUUGCGCUAAUAGAUGAGCCUAAGUCGGAUUAGCUAGUUGGUGGGGUAAAGGCCUACCAAGGCGACGAUCUGUAGCGGGUCUGAGAGGAUGAUCCGCCACACUGGGACUGAGACACGGCCCAGACUCCUACGGGAGGCAGCAGUGGGGAAUAUUGGACAAUGGGGGGAACCCUGAUCCAGCCAUGCCGCGUGUGUGAAGAAGGCCUUAUGGUUGUAAAGCACUUUAAGCGAGGAGGAGGCUACUUUAGUUAAUACCUAGAGAUAGUGGACGUUACUCGCAGAAUAAGCACCGGCUAACUCUGUGCCAGCAGCCGCGGUAAUACAGAGGGUGCGAGCGUUAAUCGGAUUUACUGGGCGUAAAGCGUGCGUAGGCGGCUUAUUAAGUCGGAUGUGAAAUCCCCGAGCUUAACUUGGGAAUUGCAUUCGAUACUGGUGAGCUAGAGUAUGGGAGAGGAUGGUAGAAUUCCAGGUGUAGCGGUGAAAUGCGUAGAGAUCUGGAGGAAUACCGAUGGCGAAGGCAGCCAUCUGGCCUAAUACUGACGCUGAGGUACGAAAGCAUGGGGAGCAAACAGGAUUAGAUACCCUGGUAGUCCAUGCCGUAAACGAUGUCUACUAGCCGUUGGGGCCUUUGAGGCUUUAGUGGCGCAGCUAACGCGAUAAGUAGACCGCCUGGGGAGUACGGUCGCAAGACUAAAACUCAAAUGAAUUGACGGGGGCCCGCACAAGCGGUGGAGCAUGUGGUUUAAUUCGAUGCAACGCGAAGAACCUUACCUGGCCUUGACAUACUAGAAACUUUCCAGAGAUGGAUUGGUGCCUUCGGGAAUCUAGAUACAGGUGCUGCAUGGCUGUCGUCAGCUCGUGUCGUGAGAUGUUGGGUUAAGUCCCGCAACGAGCGCAACCCUUUUCCUUACUUGCCAGCAUUUCGGAUGGGAACUUUAAGGAUACUGCCAGUGACAAACUGGAGGAAGGCGGGGACGACGUCAAGUCAUCAUGGCCCUUACGGCCAGGGCUACACGCGUGCUACAAUGGUCGGUACAAAGGGUUGCUACACAGCGAUGUGAUGCUAAUCUCAAAAAGCCGAUCGUAGUCCGGAUUGGAGUCUGCAACUCGACUCCAUGAAGUCGGAAUCGCUAGUAACCGCGGAUCAGAAUGCCGCGGUGAAUACGUUCCCGGGCCUUGUACACACCGCCCGUCACACCAUGGGAGUUUGUUGCACCAGAAGUAGCUAGCCUAACUGCAAAGAGGGCGGUUACCACGGUGUGGCCGAUGACUGGGGUG